CCUACGGGUGGCAGCAGUCGAGAAUCAUUCACAAUGGGGGAAACCCUGAUGGUGCGACGCCGCGUGGGGGAAUGAAGGUCUUCGGAUUGUAAACCCCUGUCAUGUGGGAGCAAAUUAAAAAGAUAGUACCACAAGAGGAAGAGACGGCUAACUCUGUCCCAGCAGCCGCGGUAAUACAGAGGUCUCAAGCGUUGUUCGGAAUCACUGGGCGUAAAGCGUGCGUAGGCUGUUUCGUAAGUCGUGUGUGAAAGGCGCGGGCUCAACCCGCGGACGGCACAUGAUACUGCGAGACUAGAGUAAGGGAGGGGGAACCGGAAUUCUCGGUGUAGCAGUGAAAUGCGUAGAUAUCGAGAGGAACACUCGUGGCGAAGGCGGGUUCCUGGACAUUAACUGACGCUGAGGCACGAAGGCCAGGGGAGCGAAAGGGAUUAGAUACCCUUGUAGUC
rnacentral:rRNA from 1 species